UACAGAGGUCCCGAGCGUUGUCCGGAAUUAUUGGGCGUAAAGAGCUCGUAGGCGGUCUGUUGCGUCCGCUGUGAAACUCGGGGCUUAACCCCGAGCCUGCAGUGGAUACGGGGCAGACUAGAGGUAGGUAGGGGGAGAAUGGAAUUCCCGGUGUAGCGGUGAAAUGCGCAGAUAUCGGGAGGAACACCGGUGGCGAAGGCGGUUCUCUGGGCCUUUACCUGACGCUGAGGAGCAAGCGUGGGG
rnacentral:rRNA from 1 species